rnacentral:lncRNA from 1 species
GCGCCUUAGAACACAGUGUGCCAGGCCUUGUAGGAGGUGGAUGGGGCGGCCUCUCCACAAGGAGAGCUCUGGUUCUCACACACAAGGUGACUGUUUCUGUUGGCAGCUGCUCCCAGGAGCCUCCAUGAACUGGAUCUCAGGACCGGGGGCAGAAACUCAUCCUUCUACUCAGGAAUGUGAAGACUUCCUUCAGGAGUUCGGACGGCUUCUAAGGUAAAUGAACAAAGGCCAGAAGUGUCUUUUGUGCAAUAAAAAUAUAAGGAAUGAAAUAACAAGUGGAGGCUAACCCUGACUGGCGAACGAAGCAGUCACAACACACACAGCUAUGAGAUGCCCCAAAUGCUGACAAGAACGGUUGUGAAGAUGGUCAACCUCUGAUGGCCUUCCUGGAAUCUCCUUAGAGAUAGCCCUCGAGAGAAAUCCCUACCAAGGAGACCCUUUCUUCCAGGUGUCUCCACUGGGAAAGCGAGCUGUGCAGAUAACUCAACAGAACCAAAGGCUAAAGGAAGACAAAAACGAAUUCCAGUAUUUUCUCUGAGUGUAAGGAAAAAAGACCCGAAGAAAAUCCUAUGGUCAAUGGACUAGGAAAGGAAGGAAACUCUGGCAUUCCAACUUAAAGGAACACAAGGUAAUGAUUAUACUCACAAUGAUGAGGACCACAUCGAAUUAUGAGAUAAAUUUAUUGUAAAAUACCAAGUGUAAGAGAAUAUGCCAUCCUAUUUCUGCUAUGACUGCUGUGAUUUCAGUGUAAAAUCACAUGUGCCUACGAUUGGGGAUGGAAAGGAAGACAGAAUGAAAGCGGUUGCAUCUUGGUGAGGUCACA